GCCUGGGAGCUGAUGCCCCCCUCCCAAACUCAUCUUUCACACAUGUCUGGGUCACCCUUCCCCCAUGGGACACGGCUGAUGACCUGCCAGCACUUUCCCACCACCCACAGUGCCAGGUUGGAGCCAGCUGCUCCAGAAGUGCCUGGGAGCCACGGCACAGCAGCCCUGUCCAACCCCAGGCAAUGCUGACACAGCUCCUGCAGGAUUCCCACCCAGGAAACCACUUGCAGGGAAUGAUGCUAUGAUAUCUGCAGAGCAGGUGAGAUCUGCAGCACCCAAAUGAGGGGCAGGUGGGUGUCCUUCCCCCCUCUCCGAAGCUGGGGACAUCAGGGCCACCUCCCUCUGUCCCUGUGCUGCAGGAGGAAGCAGGAACAGCCAGAAGGGGCCAUCAGGGUCUCUUGUCACAGACACAGCACAGCCUCUAUUCCAUGGAGGUGGUGAUGGAAGGAGGAGCUGAGAGGCACAAACUCCACAGAACAUAGAAUUCUACCUGUGGUCUGUAGACCAAAGUUCCACCCAGGCUUUUUUUCCUGCUCACCAUCCCUUAUUCACGUGCCACAAAUUAUCCUACACAAGUGUGUCCUGCCUCACAUCCAGCAAACACCAGCAACACCUCAGCCAGCCCCAGGGUACUCAUGAGGUAACACCAAAACACCCCCAGGGAGAGAAAAGGAAAUAGUGAAUAGGGGAUGGUGAGCAAGAUAAAAAACUGGAUGGAGCUUCAAAAAACUGUGGAUUUAUUCACAAAAUUGGGGGGGCUCAUCAACCCCAAUUUUUAUAAUUUUGCCACACUCUGAUAGCUUUUCAUGACUUAGUCUGAUAUUGCUGUUCUACUUGAUAUUUCCUCCGGUUAUUCCUGCACAGGUUCACACUCACCAUUGCAUUUCUUUCUCUUUAUAUUUUUUUUCCCCUUGCAAGAAACUCAAUCAGCCUCCCUGAAAAACUCUGCAGUUCAAGAGUGCCAUCUUGAGGCUUCCUAUGUAUAAGGACUAUGUGCUGAUUGAACCUCGAGUAUUCAGGGAGUUAUUUACAUUUAAAAUAUCAUUUUUAAAAGGCAUGAGCUUGUGUACAGAGAGGCAGUUCAUUUCUGCUGUGCAUUACCUGGAGUUAAGGGAUCCAGCCAACAGAAAUGUCACCCACAGUCAAGAUUUUCAAAAGCAAACAACACUAGUGAGUGCUCUGCUUUGGGAUAUACUAUUUGAAAUGCCUCAGGAGAUACCUGGUGUUCAGACUGUGCUCAGUUCCAGCCUUCUGAAAAAUCAAUGAACUUGCAAAGUGUUUUAAGCCAGGUACUGAAAAUGAAUAAUUAUUAUUUUAAUUUUUUUUUGGUAAGAUGCAUGUUUGUAUGUUUAAUUUAAGUUAAAGGCAAAUUCAAAGGGAAAAUAAGACAAUGGCUUUCAAAACUAUUUUAAGUCUACAUGGGGAGAAUAUUGCCUUAGAUAUUCCCAUGCUUUAAAAUAAAGGAGAAACCUUCAUGCUUUGGAGUAUAAGCUAUGGGGUUAUUACGAAAUCUUUCUCCUUCUACAGCAUAGCCCAGACACCAGUAAUUUAUCCCUGCAGGAGAGCAAACGGGUAGAUUGUUACAACAAAUCAUGCACAGGUUGAGAAUUUACCGUGCAAAGUGAGAUGUUGCUUUUCAUUCUUCCUGCUGUAGCUGCCAGGUGGGGCUUGGGAAAAGGAUGUGUGCCAGCACGUUCACAAUGAAGUGCCCUGAGGAUGGGGCGCCACAGGAAACCAGAGACCCUCCAAAAUAUGCAUUGUUAACACCACAAAUAACCCCAUGUUUCCUUGUGAUAUUUCUCAUUUGGAAGCCGAGCAGAAAUGCAAACCUUUCUGAAAGGAUUGGCCAUGAUGUACAUCCCCCAGUUAUCAGCGCUAUCAAAGUUGCACAAGUAUGUUCUUUUUUGGUGUUUUUAUAAGAAUUUUAGAUUGCAUUAGAUGGGAAGUCAUAAAACUGUGAAUUUGACUGAAGUCCAGAUGAAAAGCAAUCUACCUCCAGCUACAGGAAGGAGUCCUGUUUGUUUUCCAGCAGCAGCAGACUGCAGCAGAAGGUAAUUUUAUCCUCAGCAUUUAGUACAGCUACGGCACAUCUCACAAAAGAAAUCCAGAAUCGGCUCUGAUCAUCCUUAAACUAGCAGGAUCUGAGUCAUAUCCCGGUCUGGAAGGAGGAGUGGGUAAGAAACUAAUUUCCCUUUCACAGCAAAGAAAACCACAAAUUCAAAUUUUUUUUUUUUUCUUGCUCAGAAGUCCAAAAUACCUUGCCAAUAGUCAGUGAAGAUGUGUCAGAUCUUCUGAAUGGGAUGGGAGCACCUUGGGACAGCCCAUGGACUGUGUGUCCCACACAAAUCUCCUUGUGCUGCUGGCCAGGGCAGUGCUGGGAUGACUUGGGCUGAAAGAGAGGAUUUUUUAGCAGUCCAACAGAGCCUAAAUAGGACAGGCACAGUCGAGGGGUCAGAGCAAAUGAGGUCUAUCUCCACAAAGAAAGGCCAUUUUGGAGAUCUAGGUUAUGUUAAACCUAUUCACAGAGAAUAAAUGCCUGAUUCUGGGUGUAGGCUGUGUUAUUAAUUGAGGACUAACACGCUGCUGAGCAUGAAUGGCGCGGCAGAGUCUGUCUCUGUGUGAGUGAGAGAUCGCUGAGACUGAGCUGGGAGCUGGUUCACUUGGAAACUAUGGCUUGGGAAUGAGCCAGGUGUCUAUUUUGGGUCUCUCCAUAGGCUGGAAUUGCCUGCAGUCAAGCUGGACUCCUUUCUAGGACAAGUUAAAAUGUUGUUCUCUGUCUUCUAAAGGAGCAAAGAGCAGGAAUACUCCAAUAACUAAAAAGAUUUCAAUUUAGUUGGCUCUUAGCUCUAGGGUUGUUCAAAUAAUUUUAAGCCUGCUACUGUAAUUUUUAUUAUAAAUUCCCAGUGACAAUUGGGAAGCUAAUAGAAAGGUCCAAGAAGAUUUACACAAAAGUUAAUUCCACAGUCUAAUCAACGACUGAAAGGUUUUGAAUGUGGAAGUUUUGACAAUUAUUUAGCCAAAUGUUACAUUUACAUUUGCCAAUGAGGGAUGAAAUUUGACUACAUGUUAAUAUCCUUUUGAAUGUUCCAUAAGAUUUGCAUUAAUCAAGGUAUUACUAAGUUGUCUUCAAAGUUUUUUGUUUUGCAGUGACUGCAGUGCAUCAUAACAUAUCUUACGUGGGUUGUAAAAGGAUGACAUUGUGUCCUGUCAUAUCUUCAGGAUAUGUUCAAAAAUGGGACUGAAUGACACACAUCAGGAGAAAAUCAUUUCACUGGAAGGAGAAGAACAGCUUGUCUGUCUUGAGUUAAGCCAUCACUGCAGUGAUUUGGAAUGGUAAAUGCAGGAACAUUCCGUGGAUAUAGCUGUGAGCAUUUCCAGGAGAACUUAAAUAGCAUCACUUGCUUGAGAGCAAAGUGUUGGAGCUCGUGCAAUGAGAACAGAAGAUGGAAAUUACCAAUAGAAAAGAAAACUGUUGUUUCAAACACUCCCUCCAUGCAUUGGGAAACACAAAGCGCUCCACCAGUGCUGCCAUCAGCAAAUGCCAACUGCACAUUGUGAAAUGCUGGGUACAGCUCUGUGAUAAGCUUAUGCACAUAUUUCUCUGCUUUAAGCAAAGAAACUUUAGGAAUGGGACCUAAAAGAAGGAUUGUCCUUGAAUGAACUCUGAAAAAAAUGAAACCAUAUAGGAUCUGUAUGUAAUCCUCUUACCUUUAUGCAUUUUUUUGGAUCCAGUUGUAAAGUGAGGUGCCAAGUUCACCUGCCUGAAGGUCUAGAGCUAGAGGAAGCUGGAGAGGAAUGUAAGCAAAGAGACCUAACCAACCUCCUGAGCAAAUAAAUGAGAAAAUCGUUACAAAGAGAGGGUGUGAGUGUGUGUGCACAUGCAAAGUUUCACCAUGUGAAAGAUGGCAUUUAUAAAUACAUAUAUUCUACAUUGAGGCUGACUGAACAAUUGUUCUGUAGUCAACCCCAAAAUUACACACAUGGGAAUUUGCAUGUGUGUGUAAUCUGUGAAUUCCUCGUGGUGUGAGGAGGCACCGUGGGUGUUAUGUUCACCUACACCAGUCAUCAGCCAAGCCAGCCGUGAUACAAAGCCAACAAUAUCAGUUCAACCUAGACUGAAAUUUAAAAAAGCUAAUUGUAAAGCUGUCCAUAUUAAAAAUA